UACGUAGGGGGGCAAGCGUUGUCCGGAUUUAUUGGGCGUAAGGAGCGUGUAGGCGGCCUUACAGGUCAGCUGUGAAAACUCGAGGCUCAACCUCGAGACGUCGGUUGAAACCGUAUGGCUAGAGUCCGGAAGAGGAGAGUGGAAUUCCCGGUGUAGCGGUGAAAUGCGCAGAUAUCGGGAAGAACACCCGUGGCGAAGGCGGCUCUCUGGGACGGUACUGACGCUGAGACGCGAAAGCGUGGGGAGCGAACAGG
rnacentral:rRNA from 1 species